GCGCAGCAGUCGCGAAUUUUUCACAAUGGGGGAAACCCUGAUGGAGCGACGCCGCGUGGAGGAUGAAGGCCCUCGGGUCGUAAACUCCUGUCAUGCGGGAACAAGAAAGUGAUAGUACCGCAAGAGGAAGAGACGGCUAACUCUGUGCCAGCAGCCGCGGUAAUACAGAGGUCUCAAGCGUUAUUCGGAUUCAUUGGGCGUAAAGGGUGCGUAGGUGGCGAUGUAAGUCUGGUGUGAAAUCUCGGGGCUUAACCCCGAAACUGCAUUGGGAUACUGCGUUGCUUGAGGAUUGUAGAGGAGAGUGGAAUUCACGGUGUAGCAGUGAAAUGCGUAGAUAUCGCGGAGGAAGACCAGUUGCGGAAGGCGACUCUCUGGGGCAAUUCCUGACACUGAGGCACGAAGGCC
rnacentral:rRNA from 1 species